rnacentral:rRNA from 1 species
AGUGAACGCUGGCGGUAGGCCUAACACAUGCAAGUCGAACGGCAGCACAGUAAGAGCUUGCUCUUACGGGUGGCGAGUGGCGGACGGGUGAGGAAUACAUCGGAAUCUACUUUUUCGGGGGGGAUAACGUAGGGAAACUUACGCUAAUACCGCAUACGACCUACGGGUGAAAGCAGGGGAUCUUCGGACCUUGCGCGAUUGAAUGAGCCGAUGUCGGAUUCGCUAGUUGGCGGGGUAAAGGCGCACCUAGGCGACGAUCCGGAGCGGCUAUGAGAGGAUGAUCCGCCACACUGGAACUGAGACUCGGUCCCGACUCCUACGGGAGGACGCAGUGGGGAAUAUUGGACAAUGGGCGCAAGCCUGAUCCAGCCAUACCGCGUGGGUGAAGAAGGCCUUCGGGUUGUAAAGCCCUUUUGUUGGGAAAGAAAAGCAGCAGGUUAAUACCCCGCUGUUCUGACGGUACCCAAAGAAUAAGCACCGGCUAACUUCGUG